rnacentral:snRNA from 1 species
CUAUUGCAUGAGGGAUGGGAGCGGUAUCCUUUUAUUUUUCUCCUUUAGAAAAUAAAAGAUAAAGCGUACAGCCCGACCCUUG